rnacentral:lncRNA from 1 species
UUCUAUCAUUUGCUCAGAAUUUGAUUUUAAACCCAACUAUGGCCAAAUCAGAGCAAAAGCACAAGUCAAUUGGCAGGAAACGCUGCCAAAGCUCAGCUGCACUGCCGUGGGGUGUUUCGAUUUUUGCCUCUGAUUAGGCCCUUCCCGAUUCCAGUUCGAUGUGAUUUUUUCAUCGUUGUGAUCAACAUUUCCUCCUCUACAGGUUGACCAGAGCAAAACACCCAACCGCAACGUGAGCCGAAGGAGCCACCGCACCGAAGAGCCCCACCGCUGGUGAGUUUUGGCUUUCUACGUUUUUUUGGCCCACUGAGGGCCCUAAGUGUGUUUUCUCAUAGGAACCGAUGCAAGUUUGGCUGAAUUCGACCGAAAAUAGCCAACUCGAGGCGGAUCACCGCCGCGAGCGGCGGCGCCAUCACCGGAAGACGGCGGAGCCGCCGUGUGAAAAUUCUGAAAUUGGCCGAGUAGGCCUUGUGUCUGAUUUUUGGGUUAUUUGGGACAAGUGUAGGUACUGUAAGCGCAUUUUAUUUCCCGAAAAAAAAUUCAGGGAACGCCCGUAGACGCAAUGACAAUCUAUUUUUUGACGUCGAAUCAAGUAAGGAUCCCUCACCCUAUUUCCUAUCAUGGAAUUGGAGUUUACAUAAAUGAUAGUACUGUAUUUUGUACAAAUUAAUU